rnacentral:misc_RNA from 1 species
AAAUCUCAACCUCCAUUGUUUCUUCCGGGGACCAAAGGAGGCUUGGACUCUGGAGGUUUUUGCUGGUGUCUUUGAAGGCCAGCUCCUCUUAAAUGAAUUAGCGGGGUCCUCUUUGCCGAUCCUGGACAUGUGAUAAGAUGCUUCCGUGUCUUGGCUUCUGGCUCUGUUGCCUUUGGGAUCCGCUUCCAAUCGUCUUGACCUUGCGUCGAGACAAUGUUCGAGCCUGUCUCCCUUCUUGGGAAACCCUCUCGACCCCACGAAC